AGAGUUUGAUCCUGGCUCAGAACGAACGUUGGCGGCGUGCUUAACACAUGCAAGUCGAACGAGAAAGUUCCUUCGGGGACGAGUAAAGUGGCGCACGGGUGAGUAACGCGUAGAUAAUCUGUCCAGGUGUUCGGGAUAGCCCUUCGAAAGGGGGAUUAAUACCGAAUACGUUGGUCCGUCAUAAGACAGAUUAAGAAAGGUGGCCUCUAUUUAUAAGCUAUCGCAUUUGGAGGAGUCUGCGUACCAUUAGUUUGUUGGUGGGGUAAUGGCCUACCAAGACUUCGAUGGUUAGCGGGUCUGAGAGGAUGAUCCGUCACACUGGCACUGAAACACGGGCCAGACUCCUACGGGAGGCAGCAGUGAGGAAUAUUGCGCAAUGGGGGAAACCCUGACGCAGCGACGCCGCGUGGGUGAGGAAGGCUUUCGGGUCGUAAAGCCCUGUCAGGUGGGAAGAAAUGGUUACAGGUUAAUAACUUAUAGCUUUGACGGUACCACCAAAGGAAGCACCGGCUAACUCCGUGCCAGCAGCCGCGGUAAUACGGAGGGUGCAAACGUUGUUCGGAAUCACUGGGCGUAAAGGGCGCGCAGGCGGUUUGAUUAGUCAGAUGUGAAAGCCCACGGCUUAA
rnacentral:rRNA from 1 species